GUGCUCUCUUCAGCAGCACAUAUACUAAAAUUGGAACGGUACUGAGAAGAUUAGCAUGGCCCCUGUGCAAGGAUGACACGCAAAUUCGUGAAGCAUUCCAUAUUUUU
rnacentral:snRNA from 1 species